UGCAGCAGGAGGUGGGAUUCGAGACAGACUCUCGCAGACACGUGUGGCUGCAGGGUACUACAGCCAGGGGUGAGAUUCAAACCUGCAUCCUUUGGAGCCAAAGGCAGCAGCUCGAACCACUACACCAACAGCUGGAUUUGUACAACGGGGUAAACACCUUAACCGAGGGUACAGCGACCCAAGGGCUCAAACCGCUACGCCACCUGCUGGGCCUGCAUGCAAGGGAUCUCUGCUGGUUCCCAGAGACACGGGGCCGCGGCCCACGGGUCCUGAGACGGACGGAGGACAAAGAGACACGUGACCCCGGCCUGUGCUGAGACCCGUGACCCGGGUCAUCCCGCCGCAGCGUCGGGAAGAACCCAGAGCGAGCAAAGUGCCGAAGGAGGAGGCGGCUUCCGCGCGCUGCCGCUCUGCGUUGGUUCGGCGAGACGCCGCCGGUUGCGCGAGACGUGACGCUCGUCCCUCUUGCUGUGACCCAGUAACGAGGGUCCCGUCAACAGGAGCCCAUUGUUCUCCCUUCACCUUCAUUCGUUCCGUUUAUUUAUUACUUUUUUUGCUCACAGAUUGCGGCUUGUGCAGAGCUGCCAGAUUCAUUGUGAAAUAAUUAAUAUUUGGCAGAUGGUUCCCUUCGAAGGAGAGCGCCCACACACACACACACACACACACACUACAGCCUAGUUAGGGUAACAUCAACAUUUUUACUCCAGUAACUUUUAGAAGCAGUCAGCUUUCACAAAGGGGUAAGAGCAGGUUACGGUGGGAACUUGAACCCCUGACCUUCUGAUGCACUGACUGUGUUUCGGCACCUCGGCCCGUUUCGGCAAACGUAUCCGGUACGUCUGCGGGCCGCCGUCUCCAUGGAAACAGCACAUCAUGCGGCUGCAGGAAGCGAUUAGUGCGUGCGGCACGCCGAUCGACGGCCAAGGGGGAGCAGUGUGAGGAGGCCCGUCACGCCGAGCUCCAG
rnacentral:lncRNA from 1 species